UCCCUCUCAGGGUGGAACCUGGAGAGUGUCCAGCACUCUGUCAGUCUUGGCUACAGGAGAGAGAGUCAAGCAGAGGCCUACCCAUUCCAAUCCUAGCUUGGGAAGUGGCAAGUGAGUGGAAGGCAAUCUGCUACAAGU